CUUGUGAAGACAAAGCUGAUAAAUACUUAAAACUUCAAAAUGGAUAAACGGGCCAAAAGAGCUGCAAAUAUAAAAAAUUACACCAAUAUCCCCUAUCAAAUGCCAUUCAAAAGGCUCAAAAAGUUUCUAACAUUAUCGGGAGCAGAUUUUCAAUUUUUAUUUUGUGCUCUCCUUUUCUCUCUUUUAGGGUUCCAACAGCAGCGACGACCUUCAUCCACCUCCUCCGCCUCUACCGCUGUGAAAUCAUCAUCGCCAUCUGUUACUUCAAUUAAGCAGGUGAUUCAGCUUUCGCGGUUGCCAAUCAUCUAAACUCAACUACUUUUCUUUUUCCUGCAGAGUCUUGAUGCUUUGUUGAGGAAGAAGGCCAUUGCAAUUCCAGCACCGGUUUCACUUCUCUUAGGAGGCGAGCUUGAUUUCUCCAGAACAAUUAUAUCACAUUCUGCUAUCAUGAGGUGCGCAUGAAAUUCCAAUUCUUUCAGAUUUUGAUUUUGACAAUGUUGCUUCAGCUGUUAAUAUAGCAUACGAGAAAGGAGCUACUCAUGUAGCUAUAACUUGUAACAGAGAACUAGUGAAGCUUCCGGAACUUUACAAGAGAAUGAGUUCUUACUUCUUUUUGACUAUCCAUGGUAGUUUAUGGCAUUUCCCAUUCUAUAUGAGUUGCUUUCUCAUUAUAAAUACAGGAGUUAAUUGUACCAAGUUUUACCUUCAUAAACUUUAAGCAAUAUAUGAAUAAUUUAGUCUCCCUUGUUUGAGAUACAAGAUAUAGAGCUUAACAUCCAAGUCCAAAUGACCAAAUAUUCCAUUAUCUCGAGGGGUGGUAAAUUGCAUAUGCAAUUAAUUGGGCAUGCAGUGGAUAAUGGUGGGCAUCGUGAAAAUGGAAGACUCAAAGUUUAGGUUUUCAAUUAUUUGAUUAUAUAUAAUGGGCAUGCAAUGGAUAAACAUAGCCUGAUUGCUUAUCCAACCAUCACUCUUGGCAGCUUUGAUGCAUUCACUCCAGUUAAUUUUAUUUGUAAAGCUUUAAAUAUGGGACUAACAUUGUAAUUAUUUAUGCAGGAUGGAAGAAGUAGAAGCGCAGUGUGCAUUACUAAACUCCGGAUCAUUAUGUCAAAUUCAGUUCUAAUAACUGAACAAGAACAAAGGCAAACAAAGUGAAAAUUCGGAUUCUGAAACGUUAAAAUUCGGUUCUGAAAGCGCUAUUUUGAGUG